rnacentral:tRNA from 1 species
UAGAAGAAGGGGAUUCGAACCCCCGUCUAAAAAUUCAAAAUUUUUAGUAUUCCCAUCUAUACUACCCUCUA